CCACAGCCCAGCCGAACCCCACGGGCGCUCGUCUUCCUCCUUCUGCACGAGCACGAACAGAAAUAGGCACAACGCCGUCGCCAGCGCAAUCUCCUCCGGUUCCCCGUCCAGGUGCUCUGAAUCGAAUCCCACGAGCCUCCUCUCCCCAAUCCCCUCAGUUUCCCAAAUUACAGCCCAACAGUCUCCCCAUGGCUCUCCUCUCCAUUAAUGGCUAGAGCCAUUGAUCCCGGCGAGAUAAUCUCUCGACCCUGCUCUCCCCUUCCCCUAUAAAAGGCGCCCAGGUCCUCCUUUCUUCUCACCUCGCCACCCCCACGGGCUACGCCCAAGCGCUGCCCUAUUCCCCUCGCAAAUCGUCACCAUAGCUCGUCGCUGCCGCGGCCGCUCCAACCGGCUGUAGCCGUCGACCGACGUCGCCUCCGACCACUCCGAGGAUCCAGACGAGUCUGCCGCUUCCUCCUCGACCUCGCCCACGAUCUCCUCGACUCCGCGACGACUCCCUCGCUGUUUUCCUCAACGCCGGCGAACUUCCUCCGAUGAUGAGUGAAGACGUAGGGUUCACGGGGCCUAUACUCAAUAAAGCCAAGUGGCAUUGAUGGAGCCCAAGUUUUAUUUGCUUUAUUUUGCUUCCGUUGUAAAGUGAGCCAGCCACUAUAGCUGUGCAGAUUGUAAUAAUUAAACUCUGGAUUUGUCGUUGAUUAAUAAAGAUGAUAUAUGUUUUCUUGGUAUCCA